AUGAGAAUGUGACUCAUUUCUAUUGAUUGCAGAGAAUUGCUGCUGCAUCUGGCUGUGAAAAAUCCAGUUCUGCUGCUCUGGUUGAAUGCUUAAGAGGAAAAACAGAGGAAGAGAUAGAACAGAUAACUCUAAAAAUGGAUCUGACAACAUUGCGACUGUGCUCCACCUCACCUGAGAAUUGUGAACAGACUCCCUUGUUCAUCAGUUCUUGU